rnacentral:rRNA from 1 species
AACACAUGCAAGUUCGAACGGUCUCUUCGGAGAUAGUGGCAGACGGGUGAGUAACGCGUGGGAAGCUACCUUGUGGUAGGGAACAACAGUUGGAAACGACUGCUAAUACCCUAUGAGCCCUAUGGGGGAAAGAUUUAUCGCCAUGAGAUGUGCCCGCGUUAGAUUAGCUAGUUGGUAAGGUAAUGGCUUACCAAGGCGACGAUCUAUAGCUGGUCUGAGAGGAUGAUCAGCCACACUGGGACUGAGACACGGCCCAGACUCCUACGGGAGGCAGCAGUGGGGAAUAUUGGACAAUGGGGGCAACCCUGAUCCAGCCAUGCCGCGUGAGUGAUGACGGCCUUAGGGUUGUAAAGCUCUUUCAGCAGUGAAGAUAAUGACAUUAACUGCAGAAGAAGCCCCGGCUAACUUCGUGCCAGCAGCCGCGGUAAUACGAAGGGGGCUAGCGUUGUUCGGAAUCACUGGGCGUAAAGCGCGCGUAGGCGGAUUGAUAAGUUAGGGGUGAAAUCCCGAGGCUCAACCUCGGAACUGCCUUUGAUACUGUCAGUCUUGAGUUCGAGAGAGGUGAGUGGAACUCCGAGUGUAGAGGUGAAAUUCGUAGAUAUUCGGAAGAACACCAGUGGCGAAGGCGGCUCACUGGCUCGAUACUGACGCUGAGG